rnacentral:rRNA from 1 species
AUUGAACGCUGGCGGAAUGCUUUACACAUGCAAGUCGAACGAUGAACCUUAGCUUGCUAAGGGGAUUAGUGGCGAACGGGUGAGUAAUAUAUCGGAACGUACCUUGUAAUGGGGGAUAACUAGUCGAAAGAUUAGCUAAUACCGCAUACGCCCUGAGGGGGAAAGUAGGGGAUCUUCGGACCUUACGUUAUAAGAGCGGCCGAUAUCUGAUUAGCUAGUUGGUGGGGUAAUGGCCUACCAAGGCGACGAGCAGGAGCUGGUCUGAGAGGACGACCAGCCACACGGGGACUGAGACACGGUCCAGACUCCUACGGGAGGCAGCAGUGGGGAAUUUUGGACAAUGGGCGCAAGCCUGAUCCAGCCAUUCCGCGUGAGUGAAGAAGGCCUUCGGGUUGUAAAGCUCUUUCGCAAGGGAAGAAAACUUACAUUCUAAUAAAGUGUGAGGCUGACGGUACCUUGAUAAGAAGCACCGGCUAACUACGUGCCAGCAGCAGCCGCAG